GAUGAAGAACGUAGCGAAAUGCGAUACGUAAUGUGAAUUGCAGAAUUCAGUGAAUCAUCGAAUCUUUGAACGCACAUUGCGCCCGCCAGCACUCUGGCGGGCAUGCCUGUUCGAGCGUCAUUUCAACCAUCAAGCCCCAGGCUUGCGUUGGAGCCCUGCGGCUGCCGCAGCCUCCUAAAAGCAGUGGCGGGCUCGCUAUCACACCGAGUGCAGUAGAUUACUCUUCGCUCAGGGCGUGCAGCGGGUUCCGGCCGUGAAACCCCCUACUUUUAAAGGUUGACCUCGGAUCAGGUAGGAAUACCUGCUGAACUUAAGCAUAUCAAUAAGCGGAGGA
rnacentral:misc_RNA from 1 species